GUGCUUGCUUUGGCAGCACAUAUACUAAAAUUAGAACAAUACGGAGAAAAUUAGCAUGACUCCUGCAAAAGGAUGACAUAUGAAUUAGUAAAGCGUUUCAUUAAAAA